rnacentral:rRNA from 1 species
AUGAGAUCCGACAUCACUGCACUGGCACGAUUCGUCGCUACGCUCGCUACAGCAAACACAUACAUGCAUGACAGCAAGCAAUUUAUGUUCCUGUCAGCCAAUAAUUUGGCAACCACGUUUGCCACGGGCCGGCCGAUAUGGUACCGGAAGGUUAGGACAUCCAGAUCAAUUAUCUUAUAUGUUUCAUCGCUAGCCGCGCAACAUUCCAGCAAAAGCAUGGCGCUAGCAAGUGCCCUCGCCGGCGGCCCAGCGGCGUUCAAGGACGUCUUCGUCAACAGCCGCCACGACCCGCCGUUGCCCCUGCCGAAGAAAGACCAUAGCGAUGGCAACGGCGACGGCGACGCCCUCACGAGCAACCCGAUGACGGGGCAGUGCCUGUACAAGGGCACCUGGGUGAUGGAAGGGUGGAUCCCGGGGAUCGUCCAGAUUCAAAACGGCGGCGGCUUCACGCCGCGUCCUGGCGAUGUCAUCCUCGCCAGCCCGCCCAAGUGUGGCACCACGUGGCUCAAGGCGCUCGCCUUCGCCACCAUGGCACGCCGGGCGCACCCGCCCGCCGCCCCCGACCACCCGCUCCUCCGCCACACGCCGCACGACUGCGUGCCGUUCAUGGAGGUGAUCGUGUCGGGCGGGUGGGGGAAUAAGCUGGACGCACUGCCGUCCCCGAGACUCUUGUCCACGCACAUGCCCUACUCUACUCUGCCCGCCUCCAUCACCAAGAAUCCAGACCGCAAGAUCGUCUACAUCUGCAGGGACCCAAAGGACAUGGUAGUCUCAAUGUGGCACUUCCUUAGGUAUCCUCGGCCAAACCUGUCAUUCAACGACAUGUUCGAGCUCACCUGCGAGGGCAAAUCUCUAUGCGGCCCAUUCUGGGACCACAUCCUUGGGUACUGGAACGCCAGCAAAACCAUGAGCGGCGACGAGGGCCAGCCAGAGAUGACCUCGGCAGCGGUCCUUUUCCUCAGGUAUGAGGAAAUGAUAAAAGAUCCGGCCAACAAUGUA